rnacentral:rRNA from 1 species
UACGGAGGGGGCUAGCGUUGUUCGGAAUUACUGGGCGUAGAGGGCGCGUAGGCGGCUUAUCAAGUCAGGCGUGAAAUUCCCGGGCUCAACCUGGGGGCUGCGCUUGAUACUGAUUGGCUUGAAUGCGGGAGAGGAUAGUGGAAUUCCCAGUGUAGAGGUGAAAUUCGUAGAUAUUGGGAAGAACACCGGUGGCGAAGGCGGCUAUCUGGCCCGUAAUUGACGCUG